GCCGGGGUGGCGGAAUAGGUAGACGCAAGGGACUUAAAAUCCCUCGGGGCCACGCCCCGUGCCGGUUCGAUGCCGGCCCUCGGCA
rnacentral:tRNA from 1 species